UACGUAGGGGGCAAGCGUUGUCCGGAUUUAUUGGGCGUAAAGAGCGUGUAGGCGGCCAGACAGGUCCGUUGUGAAAACUCGAGGCUCAACCUCGAGACGCCGAUGGAAACCGUCUGGCUAGAGUCCGGAAGAGGAGAGUGGAAUUCCUGGUGUAGCGGUGAAAUGCGUAGAUAUCUGGAGGAACACCGGUGGCGAAGGCGGCAUCCUGGACCAACACUGACACUGAGGAGCGAAAGCCAGGGGAGCAAACGGG
rnacentral:rRNA from 1 species